rnacentral:rRNA from 1 species
GGGGAAUAUUGGGCAAUGGAGGCAACUCUGACCCAGCCAUGCCGCGUGGGUGACGAAGGUCUUCGGAUUGUAAAGCCCUUUCGGCGGGGACGAUGAUGACGGUACCCGCAGAAGAAGCCCCGGCUAACUUCGUGCCAGCAGCCGCGGUAAUACGAAGGGGGCUAGCGUUGUUCGGAAUUACUGGGCGUAAAGGGCGUGUAGGCGGCCCGCUAAGUCAGGUGUGAAAUUCCUGGGCUCAACCCAGGACGUGCACUUGAGACUGACGGGCUUGAGUCCGGGAGAGGAUGGUGGAACUCCCAGUGUAGAGGUGAAAUUCGUAGAUAUUGGGAAGAACACCCGUGGCGAAGGCGGCCAUCUGGACCGGUACUGACGCUAAGGCGCGACAGCGUGGGGAGCAAACA